GCUAGGGGUUCAGGGAGCACCCGGUUUCCAUGUGAAGCUCACAGACCAUCUGGGCAUGGUGGCAGGCUUCUGGCUCCACACACAGUGAUUCCCUAGUUCUGGAUCGAGUCAUUUAGAGACUUUGGGGCCUCUGUAGGACAUCGGCGUUAACCAGCACUUCAUCAUGGGGCAUACUCCCCUGUCGGGCAUCACUGGACCAAGCCUCUGUGUCGGGCUGGUCAGGAGAGCAGUGCUGAGCCUCGGGGAGCCUCCGAGCGCCUCUGAGCAGAGGCUGAAGCCUGGGCACCGCGCCAGGUUACAGGGCCAUCAGAGGGACCCGAGAUGUGGCUGCAGGUCAGACUCUGCGCCCUCGCCGAGCAGAGGGCCUCUGAGAGUGCCAACUGUGGACCUCCCAGACAAAACCCUCCUUGAGCAUUUCAAAAAGGAAAAAUUAAAACAUUUCAAAGGUUUAAAAUUUGGUAAAAGGAAGGAACACAAAAUUCUACUAAUUGAAAUGAGUUUGGUUGGCUCAGAGAGACAUUACUCUUAGAUACUGAAUGUCUGAGUUUCCCAGGGAGAGGAGAGAAAUGAGUCCCAAUCCCUCAAUCUUUUUGUUCUCAGCGUCGGAGCAGAGACAAGAGGAGAAGGAAAGGUGGGACACAGGAAGGUUUGAGAUAUUACCACAGGGAAGAGCAGGAGAAAAGGAGGCUGAUUUCUGUCCUGAAAAGCUCCCUGGGCCAGCAUCAUGAUACCACCCACU